rnacentral:rRNA from 1 species
GAUGAACGCUGGCGGCGUGCCUAACACAUGCAAGUCGAGCGAUCUUCUUCGGAAGAGAGCGGCGGACGGGUGAGUAACGCGUGGGUAACCUGCCCUGUACACACGGAUAACAUACCGAAAGGUAUGCUAAUACGGGAUAACAUAAGAAAGUCGCAUGGCUUUCUUAUCAAAGCUUUUGCGGUACAGGAUGGACCCGCGUCUGAUUAGCUAGUUGGUAAGGUAACGGCUUACCAAGGCGACGAUCAGUAGCCGGCCUGAGAGGGUGAUCGGCCACAUUGGAACUGAGACACGGUCCAAACUCCUACGGGAGGCAGCAGUGGGGAAUAUUGCACAAUGGGCGAAAGCCUGAUGCAGCAACGCCGCGUGAGCGAUGAAGGCCUUCGGGUCGUAAAGCUCUGUCCUCAAGGAAGAUAAUGACGGUACUUGAGGAGGAAGCCCCGGCUAACUACGUGCCAGCAGCCGCGGUAAUACGUAGGGGGCUAGCGUUAUCCGGAAUUACUGGGCGUAAAGGGUGCGUAGGCGGUCUUUCAAGUCAGAAGUGAAAGGCUACGGCUCAACCGUAGUAAGCUUUUGAAACUGUAAGACUUGAGUGCAGGAGAGGAGAGUGGAGUUCCUAGUGUAGCGGUGAAAUGCGUAGAUAUUAGGAGGAACACCAGUUGCGAAGGCGGCUCUCUGGACUGUAACUGACGCUGA